AGUGAACGCUGGCGGUAGGCCUAACACAUGCAAGUCGAACGGCAGCACAGUAAGAGCUUGCUCUUACGGGUGGCGAGUGGCGGACGGGUGAGGAAUACAUCGGAAUCUACUUUUUCGUGGGGGAUAACGUAGGGAAACUUACGCUAAUACCGCAUACGACCUACGGGUGAAAGCAGGGGUUCUUCGGACCUUGCGCGAUUGAAUGAGCCGAUGUCGGAUUAGCUAGUUGGCGGGGUAAAGGCCCACCAAGGCGACGAUCCGUAGCUGGUCUGAGAGGAUGAUCAGCCACACUGGAACUGAGACACGGUCCAGACUCCUACGGGAGGCAGCAGUGGGGAAUAUUGGACAAUGGGCGCAAGCCUGAUGCAGCCAUACCGCGUGGGUGAAGAAGGCCUUCGGGUUGUAAAGCCCUUUUGUUGGGAAAGAAAAGCAGCAGGUUAAUACCCCGCUGUUCUGACGGUACCCAAAGAAUAAGCACCGGCUAACUUCGUG
rnacentral:rRNA from 1 species